CAUGUCUAGUAUAGCACCUAUACAGUGAAACUGCGAAUGGCUCAUUAAAUCAGUUAUCGUUUAUUUGAUAGUACCUUACUACUUGGAUAACCGUGGUAAUUCUAGAGCUAAUACAUGCUAAAAAUCCCGACCUCCGGAAGGGAUGUAUUUAUUAGAUAAAAAACCAAUGCCUUCGGGCUCCUUGGUGAUUCAUGAUAACUUAACGGAUCGCAUGGCCUUGCGCCGGCGACGGUUCAUUCAAAUUUCUGCCCUAUCAACUUUCGAUGGUAGGAUAGUGGCCUACCAUGGUUUCAACGGGUAACGGGGAAUUAGGGUUCUAUUCCGGAGAGGGAGCCUGAGAAACGGCUACCACAUCCAAGGAAGGCAGCAGGCGCGCAAAUUACCCAAUCCCGACACGGGGAGGUAGUGACAAUAAAUACUGAUACAGGGCUCUUUUGGGUCUUGUAAUUGGAAUGAGUACAAUUUAAAUCCCUUAACGAGGAACAAUUGGAGG
rnacentral:rRNA from 1 species